UCACUUUCCCUUCGGGGCAUUGGAGACAGGUGGUGCAUGGUUGUCGUCAGCUCGUGUCGUGAGAUGUUGGGUUAAGUCCCGCAACGAGCGCAACCCCUAUUUCCAGUAGCCAGCAAGAAAGAUGGGAACUCUGGAGAGACUGCCCGGGAUAACUGGGAGGAAGGCGGGGAUGACGUCAAAUCAUCAUGCCCCUUAUGAUCAGGGCUACACACGUGCUACAAUGGCGUAAACAAAGGGAAGCGAAGUGGUGACACGAAGCAAAUCCGAAAAAUAACGUCUCAGUUCGGAUUGUAGUCUGCAACUCGACUACAUGAAGCUGGAAUCGCUAGUAAUCGCGAAUCAGAAUGUCGUGGUGAAUACGUUCCCGGGUCUUGUACACACCGCCCGUCACACCAUGGGAGUCGGAAAUGCCCGAAGUCAGUGACCCAACCGAGAGGAGGGAGCUGCCGAAGGUGGAGCCGGUAACUGGGGUGAAGUCGUAACAAGGUAGCCGUAUCGGAAGGUGCG
rnacentral:rRNA from 1 species